rnacentral:tRNA from 1 species
GCCUCUAUAGCUCAGUGGCAGAGCGUCUGUCUCGUAAACAGAAGGUCUGUAGUUCAAUCAUGGACGCA